rnacentral:lncRNA from 13 species
CCCCAGCCCCGCCUCACUGGGCCCCGCCUCUCUGGGCCCCGCCUCUCUGGGCCCCGCCUCUCUGAGCCCCGCCUCACUGGACCCCGCCUCACUGGGCCCCGCCUCUCUGGACUCCGCCUCCCUGGGCCCCGCCUCUCUGGGCCCCGCCUCACUGGCCCCGCCUCUCUGGACUCCGCCUCACUGGGCCCCGCCUCACUGGACCCCGCCUCUCUGGACUCCACCUCACUGGGCCCCGCCUCUCUGGGCCCCGCCUCACUGGGCCCCGCCUCUCUGGGCCCAGCCUCUCUGGACUCCGCCUCACUGGGCCCCGCCUCUCUGGGCCCAGCCUCACUGGGCCCCGCCUCUCUGGACUCCACCUCACUGGGCCCCGUCUCUCUGGGCCCCGCCUCACUGGGCCCAGACCAUGCGGGAGCGGCCUCUCGAAGCUGACUGCGUCCAGUUGCUUUUCCAAUCACCGACUUGGCUUCUAUUUGAUCACCAGCUAGAAAUCUUCAGUGAUUCCCUCGGGAAGCCUAAAGGAAGCACACAGAGUGAGAGGACCCUGCACUUUGAAUCAGUCCAGGCUGGACGCAAAUCCCGAGAUCCUGCCCCUCACUACGGAGCACAGCUCUUUGAGACUCAGCCUGCUCAUCUGUAAAAUCGGGAGGAUGAUGUCCACCUUCAGAGGCAAUGUGAGAACCAGCAGUAAUGUAUGCAAAUCAUACAUGAAAUUAUGAAACAACAGAGAAGGCCUGAUGCACAAACCCUGGAGCUGACUGAUACAGGGCAAAGCUCUGCAUGUGGAUGACCUGAGUCUGGAUCCUGCUCAACCACUGUUGGAUAAAUGGUGGUGGGAGAGCCCUGAAACUGUCUAGGCCCUGCCUGUAGAUAGAAAUGAGAACAGUACCUGUCUCAUAAAAGAAGUUCAUGCAAAUGAUGACAAUGUUGCUGUUGCUAUUGUUACUAUCAUUAUCAUUACCGUCAUCACUUAGGGCUUAGUGCAAG